UACGUAGGGUGCGAGCGUUAAUCGGAAUUACUGGGCGUAAAGCGUGCGCAGGUGGUCUGUUAAGACCGAUGUGAAAUCCCCGGGCUUAACCUGGGAACUGCAUUGGUGACUGGCAGGCUUUGAGUGUGGCAGAGGGAGGUAGAAUUCCACGUGUAGCAGUGAAAUGCGUAGAGAUGUGGAGGAAUACCGAUGGCGAAGGCAGCCUCCUGGGCCAACACUGACGCUCAUGCACGAAAGCGUGGGGAGCAAACAGG
rnacentral:rRNA from 1 species